rnacentral:lncRNA from 1 species
CUUAUAUCUCAACCUAAUUGGAAACACAGAAUACUACAUCUUACUCUUAAAACACGAUAGGAAUGAAUUAGGGAGCUGCUUUUAGUUCAAUCUUUCCCUUACAUGCCCUGUUCUCAAGUAAUUACCUAUUUAUGUCAACCUCUUAAAUAUUGGUUAUGUUGAUGACUGGUGUUGCACCCUAAAAAAACCUUAACUUAUAUACAUAUAAUGAUGACAAUGUAAAAUAAAGGAAUUUCUAACUGGCCCAAAUCUAAAUAGAUUGAGUCGAUCAUAAUUUUUUGGCCGAAUUUUGCCACCCACGGAUUUAAAAAAAAUUCACAUUGACUUCUACUGGUUUAACAACUUAGGUUGAGCAGUAUAGUUGGACAGAUAAAGAGGUUACUUUGUGCUAUAUUUGUCUUUGCUCUUUCUCUUUUGUAUUCUUAAUGCAAUCUGAAUACCUCUUUAAUUUCGGUGAUCUGCUUAUAGCUCAACUUAGCCGGAAACACAGAAUACUACAUCUUACUCUUAAAACACGAUAGGAAUGAAUUAGGCAGCUACUUUUAGUUUAACCUUUCCCUUACAUGAGAUUUAAGUACAUGAGAUUCUUAAAUAUCCUUUUUCUAUUUUGGUGAUUAAUUUUUUGUUGUCUGUGUCUUGUUAGCUGUUAGAACAUGAGAUUGUUGAAUACCUCUUUAAUUUUGGUGAUCUGCUUAUAUCUCAACCUAGCCGGAAACACAAAAUACUAUACCUUACUCUCAAAACAUGAUAGGAAUGAAUUAGGCAGCAGCUUUUAGUUCAAACUUUCCCUUACAUGUCCUGUUCUCAAGUAAUUACCUAUUUAUGUCAACCUCCUAAAUAAUGGUUAUGUUGAUAACUGGUGUUGCGCCCUUAAAAAACCUUAACUUAUAUACAUAUAAUGAUGACAAUGUAAAAUAAAGGAAUUUCUAACUGGCCCAAAUCUAAACAGAUUGAGUCGGUCAUAAUUUUUUAGCCGAAUUUUGCCACCUACGGAUUUAAAAAAAAUUCACAUUGACUUCUUCUGGUUUAACAACUUAGGUUGAGUAGUAUAGUUGGAUAGAUAAAGAGGUUACUUUGUGCUAUAUUUGUCCUUGCUCUGUUUCUUUUGUAUUCUUAAUGCAAUCUUUUGUCACUUUGCAAUCAACAUAUGUGUGUGGGAAAGUUGUCGUACUUUGUACCUCUUACUUAUGGUAUUAACGGAUAUUGUUGAUUUCUAUUGUUUCUUCUUCUUUUACUAAUCCUUGUGCAAAUUAUUUUAUUGUGACCCUAUAGUACACUAAGUUUGUAGCAUCAUUAGCGUCCUUAAAGUUGAACCAUAAUAUAUUAAUAAUUCAUCUUUCUCCUUGAUUAUUUUAUGACUCUUCUCUCCAAUUAACUAUUUAUCUCUACUUAUUUAAUCUAAAUAUGUUGAACUGCUCAUUUUACAACUUUCUCUUUUCGGUGAUAGCUAACUAAACGUCUGUGCCUACAUUAAAUUGUGUGGUAAGUACAACUUAUUUAAUUGUAAACAUGACGCUUCAUAACUUUUUGG